UUGCUCAAGGGAUCCGUUAUCCAUAUAUUCAUAAAUUAGCAAAUGAAGGCCUCUCUUUGAAUAAGAACCUAACAGUUUAACAAGAUUCUGAUUUUCCAACUUAGACAAUGCAAAAACCUCUGCUCUUAUUUCUGCAGCUGCCUUUGAUUGAGGGAAAAGCUUCUUCACCGCUAAGGUCAAAUUUGACAGUUGAGCCUAUAAUAUGGAUAAUGGAAGGAGAAGAAGAAGAGAAGAAGAAGAAAAGAAAAAGAAGAAUUAAUAUAUGGACAUGAGUAAUUAUUGCCAACAUAAAAAACAAAACAAAGUUCAACCCUGUGGACUAUCCCAAAACGACCAUCCUUGCCAAUCUUCAUUUUUGGGCUGAAAUUCUUAGUGGCGUCAAUUAUCUCUUUAAUACUGUAAGAAUCCGUUCCAAAAUUUAUGCGUGUUUCUGUAUUCCGUUGCAAGAAUCAAAUCAAAUAAGUUAAUGAACAAUUCUUUGUAAAAUUGAUGAACAAUAUUGAGGGAUGGAUGUUCUUACUGUGCAGCUCUCGGUUUCCUAUCCAUCCCAUUCUCCACAAGAAAGCUAACAAAAUGAACAGAGAAAGAACGCAAGCUAUUGCAAUUGCAACAAUUUCCCAAGCUGAUAAUUUUCUUGGAGCUAAAUAAUCCAAAAUGCAGUAGCAGUUAUUAAGUGUAAAAAAUAAUGUUAGAUCAAAUAGAGGCCAAUGAAAAAAAAAAGUUCAACAUUAUACCCCGAGUUAUAGAAAUAGCUGAAAUGAGAGGACCAUUUUGACCCCAAACAGAUCCCUUGCCAACCCAGAAGAAGUCUAAUUGCAGAGCUUCAUUGUUAGGUACUGUAGCCGUAAAAGUUUUUAGAAUGUUCUUAUUGGCACCUCCAGCCUCUUUCUUGAUGUUGAAAUCCUGUAAUACUCUCUCUCCCUGUAAUCAAAAUCAAGACCUCUACAUAUGACCAUUCACUUAAUUUAUAUGAGAAAAUUAAUAAUUUCAAUCCCUUCAUUACAAAAUUACCUGAAUAUAUACAUCAAAAAUGCGUUUGGCCACUAUGCUGUGAUCUUCCUUCUUAGAAAAUAAAGUUUCAGCAAAAUAAAGUUUGACCUCGUAUUUGCCUUUACACAAGCAGAAGGCAUAAUAGGUGAGAGAGACAGGAGCAACACGGGCAUUGGCAUAUAACUGUUCCUCAGGAAUUGAAACUCCACCUCUUAAGUCCUUUAUGUAAUCACCUGAAUUGAAAAAUGUUGUGACAAAGCCUCCAGAAAAGCUAUAAGCCCAAUUUCCUUGCGGACUUUCGUAAAAUUUUGACAAUUAAGUAUCAUUUUCGUAGUUUUGUCCGUCAAAUUUCACCGCCUAGCCACCGCAGUUUAUAGACAAGUAGUGAUCUGCAAGAAUCAUUAUUAAGUAAUUAAUGAAUAUUUACCAAGUGCAAGACUUGAUAUUAAGAACAAUUCUAUGUUUUAUUUGAAAGAACUGAACACGAAAUAAUAUUAUAACAAAAAUGAUUUUAUUUUCUUAUUUGGUUCACAAAGAAUUCAAACAUUCAAAUAUAUAGGUUGUACAGAAGUAAACGUACACUUCAUAGGGCAUUCUUUUUCUUUUCGAGAUAUGUACUCACUGAAAAACAAACAAAUUUAUAAUGAGAAGUGUGGAGGGGUGUGUAUAUCUAUAUAAAUGUGUGUGUGCGUAAAACAUACCUGUUCGGCUGACUGAAUAUCCACCAGCAACAUGCAAAUAGUAGGCAAAAAAGCAAGGUGAGAUGGGAAAAUUUUACAUUGUCCCAAAACAAAAAAUUGAGAGCGAGAUACGUUUUUAAUAAAACUCUUACAUAAUAAUCCAAUUUGGGGAACGCAAAAGUGUUCCAUUUUUAUGGUUCACGUUGGGAACAUUUCUCAAAUCAUUGAAUGAAAGAUCCCUGUCAGGCAACAACGCGUUAGAAACAGAAAUUUUGUUUCUAAAAGUUAUAUCCGUUUAUAAAUCUAUUUAGAAACAGAUCCAUAUCAAUGCUAAUUCAGAAACAUAAAAUUCGCUUUGUAAAUGAUAUAAUUCUAUUACUAAUUUUUGUAUUUAUUUUUCCAUCCAUAGCUAAAUUCGUUGUCACGUCAUGUCUUUCUAAAUUCUUGAGAAUUAAAAUGCUGAAAUUUUCUUUGAACCAAAAAAAAAAAAAAAUGCUGAAUUUUUCUGGUAGUGGCGCGCCUCACACAUAUAAAAAAUCACUAAUAAUAUACUAAAUACUCUUAUAGUAAUAUAAAAGCAUGCAACAUGAAGUUUUCCUUGAAUUUAUUAUUAUUAUUAUUAUUAUUAUUACUUAUAUACUUACACUUCAAGUGGUCCAUAAGAUGCAACCGUUGAAUUACUGAUCCAUGAAGGAAACGUUCCAUUAAGCUUAUUUCUUGCUAAAUAUCUAUAAAAAAAAGCAUUAAAUUAAAGUAAUAAAAUUAAGGAGCAUAUUUAUGAAUUUUGCCAUGAUUAGUCUAUAUUCCUAUGUGAUGGACUUAAUUAAUUUAAAAUUAUAUAAAUUAGUUAACAUGAGAAAGUCCGUCACGUACAACGUUUGUAGAUUUGAACCAAAUUGUGGGAUUUCACCAAUCAAGUUGUUGAAGCUCAAAUCAUUGCAGGAAAAAACCAUAAAACAUUACAAAAGAAAAUAGCUUUAUGUUCUAAAAUCUUGUUUACAAAAUUCUUCAUUUUUGUGAAUUUAAGCUUAUUUUUUCUAAUUAAAAACCAUAUUAAGACAUUUUGUAAUUUCAGCAUUGUACUAAAAUUAAAAUUAGAAUUUUUCAUAUAAAGUAAGAAUAAGAAAAUCAAAUUUUACUCGGGGCAAAUUGAAUAUUUAAAAGAUGAAAAGUUAUUUCUUUAUAAGCAUACACAUAUCGCUCUAGAUAAAUUUUUUCCACCUUUACGCAUAAUUCGCAUCCUCUUCGCCUAUAAAUAGCCAUAUAGAGAUGGACAACUCAAACCAUCUCACCAAAAAUAUCCAAAGCAAUUCAUUUGCUUUGUAAAACUGAGGUUCAAAGCAAAUUGCUUUCAACUGGAGAAAAGAAAGAGUGCUAGAGAAUAAAAAAUAAAAAAUGAGAUUUGUAUGAGUUAUUGUAAUUAGUGUAAGUGUGGUACUGCAAUGUGUGAGAGUAAAAGAGAGAUGAAAAAAAAAUUUUAAGUUGAAGCUCAACUUGAGGCUCGAUUUUAAAUCGAAAAAUUUUAAGCUCAAGUUCAAUUCGAUGCUCAAAUAAAUUUAAAAUAAAUAUUAUAUAUAUGUAUAUAUAAAAGUUCAAUAAGACUUGAUGAGUUUUUAAACUAAACAUCAAUAAAAUUGAGCUCUGCUCGUUUGUUAAUGAGCCGACUCGAAUCCAACCGAACUUUUUCAAACAUUUAUGCUGAAUAGCUUGUGAGCUGGCUUGUCUACACCCCCCUCGGGAGACUCAAAAUAAGCUAACACUCAUUGAAAUAAUACUUACAUAUCUACCAAUCCAGGCCAUUGAGCAAUAUACGAAGGUAUCGUGCCAUUAAUUGAGCAAUUCCUAAGUACCCUGCAUACGUCAUUCAAGAAGUUGAUGAAUAACUUCAUCUGUAUGUAAAGCUCUUCAGUGUGCUUUUUAUUACUUCUAUUUUAAUAUUCUACUCCUUCCUGUUCAUUUAUUUGAACAAAAUUUUUAACUGGAUGUUUGAUUUAAUUAGACAAACUUACUAAAUUUAGACUAAGAACAAAGUAUCAAAUUCAUAUUACCCUUUAUUUAGCUUUCUUUAUUGCAUUAAAAAUAUGAAAAUUACAAGAAAGCAGCAGACAAUCGGGUUGUGGUUUUGUUGGUUUUCUCACUUAUAUGAGGAGUAAUUAAUAGAUAUCGAAUUCGAGUUCUCUCCAUCAUAGUUGCACUUUUAUCUUUUCUUAAUAAUCAAUCCAAUUUCUCUUUUGCUGAUAAAAAAAAAAAGUACUCACAAAGACUCUAAGUUUGUUAAGUUUGCUUGCUGCGGGAAAGUAAUACCAGGAUUCCUUAGUCCAGUAACCGAUCUGAAACCAAAAAAUCUCGUCUUAGAAAGCUUUAACCAGUUUAUUUUGAACUACUGGCCUCCCCAUGUAUAAAAAACAAAAAGAAAGAAAGCAUUAACCAGAAAACGCGAAAGCUUCAAUUGUUCCUUCCAAAUGAAAUUAUGAAAAGAAGUAGGUAUUCAGUGACCGCACGUACAAUGUAAAAAGCUUUGGAAGUUUAAAAAUCCCUUCUGAUAGAUUCCCUUCAAAAUUAUUUCCCAUAAGCUGCCUGACAAUUUUAUAAUAGUACAAACAAUAUCAGAUCAAGAUAAAUUUUUUUUUUUCAUUUUAAAUAAUAAUAUUCAACAUUUUGAAUCUUUAUUUAUUUAUAUCAAAAUAAAUUCUUAGAAAUACUUACAGAUGAGUGAGGUUCUCCCAAUUUGCAAUGUAAUCCGGUAUAAAACCAGACAAAUUGUUUCCAGAUAGUUCACUGCAUUGCAUUGAAUCACAGUUUUGGAACUUAAAAUAUUUUUACAAAUAUUUGACAUCAAAAGACCCCUUUAAAAAAAUUGAGAAUAAUAAUAAAAUAAACAACUUUGAACUAAAACAAGCUAAAAUUAUUUCAAUUCUUUAGGCGACAAAUUGCCUAUUUCUUUUUCAACUUUGCUUUAAAAAUAAAAUAAUGUUUAAGGAUGACUUACAACUUUUCGAGUCGUUUAAGUUGAGAAUAAGUCUGUGGAAUGUUCCCAAUAAGAUAGUUGGAUCUCAAGGAGCUAUAACCAUAAAAUUUCAGAAAAUCGCAAUAUAAGCAAUAUAAUUUAUAAAUCAUAUAUCGAUUUGACUAAUUUAAUAUUUAAUUCUAUAUUUUAAUAGAUAAAUAAUAACAGGAAUUCUUGUGUUUUUAUUAUUCCCUCAUAUUUACUUUUACUCAUUGGUUUGUAACUUUAAUUGUAUUUAGUUUGAUUUUUAUAUUUAUUUCUAAUUAGGUUUAGAUUAGUAAUUUUAUUCCUAAUUAGUUUAAAUUUUCUACUCUAUAAAUACUCCUUUAUCCAACAUUCUAAAUAAAGUAUUUCAAUUAGAAUAUUAGAAUUUUCUCUUCCAUAAAGUUAUGUUUAUUUUAUUUAUCACUUAAAUAAAACUUACAAUGUUGCCAGAUUGCUCAAUUUUCCAAGACCUGGAGGAAGUGGACCGUUGAGUUCAUUUUCAUCCAAAAACCUGUUUUUUUUUUUUUUUUUUUUUUUUAAAAAAGGUUGGGAUAAAUUGGAUGGAGCUUAGGAUAUAUUGCAUGGAGUUAGAAAUAACGAAUAAAUAAAAAUAAAAAUAAAAAAGCUUCAUACAAAGACCAAAGUUGCGUGAGGUUUCCCAGUUCGUCAGGAAUUGGGCCUGAUAACAUGUUAUCGUCAAGAAUCCUGCAAAGCCACAAUAUAUAUAUAUAUAUAUAUAUAUAUAUUUACAAUUAUAUUGCGCCGGAAAGAAAAGAAAAGAAAGAAAAAGAAAGGAAAGGGCCUUACAGGUACUGUAGCAAUGAGAGGUUACCAAAUGAUGCAGGUAUUUGCUGAUUGAAGAAGUUGAAGCUCAGAUCGCUAUUGCAGGGAGUUUUUAAACAGCAAUUACAAGGUAAAUUAAAUAUGCCAACCCAAAUGACUUUUAAAGUAUAAAUUUUAAAGACUCGUGGCUCAAUAAAAUUAGAGAUGUCAAAAUGGGUUCGCGUCUGGUUUGACACGAAUCCGCCCGACAUGAUUAAAAUCAAUACGAACACAACCCGUUGAAUAAUCGUAUCAAAUAUUUAAAUACAAACACGAUCUGUUUAUGACAUGGUCUAUUUAAACUCAACACUAACUCAUUUAAUUUUUAGUGAAUCGUGUUCUCAUAUCAUGAGAUAUUUUGACACCCUAAUAAGUUGAAUAAGUACUUACAGUGUAUUCAAAUUUUGCAAAUUGCCCAAGCUAGUGAUUGGACCAUCCAAGUAAUUGUUUGAAAGACGCCUAAUUUUGCACAAUUCUCAACUCAAUGUAAUUACACAGCAAAAUGUACAAUUGAAGAUAGAGUGAUAUAUAGGCUAACUUACAAUUCUUCGAGCAACUUUAAAUGUUGGAAGCUACUAGGAAUAGUACCAUCAAGCUGGUUGUUGCUCAAAUCUCUGAUUAGGUACAAUCACAAAUCACAAAUUUUAUUUGUUUUGUAGUCAGGUAAUACCAUUUAUUUAUAAAUAUAAAAUACAUAUAUGUCCUAGUUAAAUUUAUAAAUCUGCAAUACGUACAGAUUUUUGAGAUUAGUUAAAUUUCCCAGGCUUUUCGGUAGGGUUCCGGUCAAUUGAUGGCCAGAAAGAUCACUGAAUUUUAACCGAACAAAAUAUAUAUUAGAGAACCAUUGGCAUAUUGCUUGAUAUAGAUAUAAAUUAGAUAUAGAAUCAGAUGGAAGCUUACAGAAUUUGCAAGUAUUGAAGCCUACUUAUUGCGUCAUCAAUAGGACCACUUAGUGUACUCUUUAUAUUUCUGUCACCCAAAAUAAAUAGAUUUAACAUUAAUUUAACAUUAAUUACUUAAGCCCCUUGUUUGAGAACACAUAUAUAUCAAAUCAAUUAUCAAUGGUAUUUUGGCUCAAACGAGAGUAUUUCUGAUACUACGCGGAAAGGAACUCUAUGAACACUAUAGGACCAAAUGCCUAUUUUGCACAUUUUUCCAUAGGUAAAAGUUUCGGUACAGGUAGUUUUACGUUGCCUGAAAUGCCCAAAGACCUUGACCUCAAACUCAAAUAUACCAUACCCUUAUGUAUAUAGCAAGAUGAGCCUUUAUAAUCGGAUAAUAUGCUAAGACCUUCGAAGGAUGCAUGGCUGGCCUAGAUUACAAGCGGAGUUUAGGCACCACGCAGGUGUCAAAGGCUACGAAGCCUUAGACCCCAUGACAUUUGAGAAAAUAAAACAAUAAUUUUUUUUUAAAAGCCUUUUUUUUAUCGGCUUGGUAUUUAGCGGCGAAGCUAGAUCCAAAAUUAAAGGGGUCAAAGAAAAAUUUUCAAAAUUAAAAGGAGCCAAAAUCAAAGAAAAAAUCUUUUUGGACUAUUUUAUAGAGAAAAAAAAAAUGGAGUUUGGGGGGCCAGGCGCCCCUCAGUCCCCUCCCUCCGCCUCUGUUUGUAUAUAGAACCACCCACACACAGGAUGUAGACAAGUCUAUAAUUGACAAUAUAUAUCAGAAUUUGGAGACACAUACAUUUCAGUUAUGUGGCAAGUGAUGUUGCUCUUGGUAUCCUUGAACAUACAAUCACACCUUAUUUCCGCACCAGGCUCCAGAUUGCUGCUGUUUUGACAGUGUAAAGCAUCGAAGUAAGAUGUUGAUGGAAACCUGUUUAUGAAAGUUCUAAUGGCAUCCACUGUCAAGAAAAAGAAAACUCUGGUUAAGCCAAGCAUUACAUCAAACCAAACGGAACUUAAUUAAUCCAAAUACAGAAUAAUGAAAUGGUUAGCUAGCUAGGAGUAGAAUAUUAUAUGCAUGCAAGUUGGGUUUCGAUUCAUGAAAGAAAAGAAAAAUGCUAAAUGGAAUUGAGAAUUGUGCUUUUAGUUACAGAAGUUUACACUCAUAGCAAGGCAGAGUUUGAUUUCCGUCACAUUCCAUUUCAGAUUUUCCAGUAGAAAGCACACCAUAAAAACAAAUUACUACAAACGGGAGUUAAAAGAAAACAGAAAUGGUUAUUUAGCUAGUGGGAGCUAAUUCUUGAAAAAAAAAUUGAAACUUGAAAAUUGUGCUCACAGAAGUGUACCCAUUUUACAAUUAAGAUUAUACUCGGGACAUUGACAAUUAGAGUUAUAUCGGCCAGGACGACAGACAGGAGAAGCUCCAUAAACAAGUUUCCGAUGGAGAAGGAAAGUAAGGAUGGGGAUAAGUAUAGCCAUAACUGAAAGUUUCCUGCUCAUUAUUUCUUACUGCACAGCUUCUUUGCUUGGCUCGUUCUAUUACUCCAAAAUUUAUACAACAUCGAAAUCUAAAUGGCAAGUCUACCCUUGAGAUCCAUAAUUAUAAUUUUAUUUCUCUUUCUAUAUUAAUUAGUUUCUAAAUUUAAUUUCAUUGAAAUAUUUAGUCAUCUUAUUCAAAAAAUCUAAUUUAAAAGUUAAAUUUUAUUAAAUUAUGUUACUAUCUAUUCUUUUGCAACUAUUAUUAAAUUACUAUUUAGCCUAUCUCUUAACUACAAAAUGUUGUCUUUUGAACCGAGCUUGAUGGAGUUAAAUCUCAAAGAUUUUUUUUGAUUAUCGGAAAAGGAGACUUUAAAUCCGGAUCUAUUAUUGCUGGGUGGUAUAUGCACUUACUAUUAAGUUAUGACAUAGUGUACAGUUAAAUCUCAAAGAUUAACUAAUUAAUAUCUUUAAUUAGAAAUGAAAUUAUAAUUAUAAUUAAAUCUAAAGGACUAAAUAGCUACUUGCUCUUACUAUUUUCAUUUGAACUGGGUGAAUCAUGCCAUCUAACUAUUAACGGAAUCUUCUCCUUUUUAUUAUUUUUUUUCACCUUUUUUUAAGAAAAAAAAAAUUCAACCUCUAUAGAUUUUUUUUUUUAAAAUAAACCUCUAUGAUUGUUAGAUAUAUGGAUGCUUAGAAAACUUUCCACGUCUUGUUUUCAGCUUUUAGGAAAGUAAAAUAAAAUAUGAAAGCACCAAUUAACACAAUUCUACUUUAACUUAAAUAUUAAUAUUAAUACUUUAUUAAAGAAAAUUUUCAAACAUGAUGAUUUGAUUACUGUGUAUAACUCAUUCAAUGACUAAUGUAAUCAGGACAGUGAUUGGUAUGGCCGUAUGGGAAUAUCAGUGGGGUUGAUAAAUAAUUAAUUAGGUGUUUCUUUACAUUUUAUUUUAGUCGUUGUUGCAAUGAUAAUUUAAUGGAUAAAUAAACAUUUAAAAUAAAAAAAUAAAAUUUAACUUAAAAUAUAAAAUAAAUAAAAAUUUCAAAUCACCAAUUCACUUCUCAACUCCAUAAAAUUAAAUUUUCAUUUUGAUUAAAAAGUUGAUCAAGUUAAUGACGGCUAAACCUAAAAUUAAUAUAUAGAUUUCUUUUUUACCAUUAAUAUUCUGCUAUGUAUGUAAAUUAAUUAAAAUAUUAAAAUAAAAUAGUCAUCAUAUUGUAACAAUCUUUGUAAUCAUGAUUUUAAUAGUGAUUUGAAAUUUAUUAAAAUUAAUAUUUUAACACUAAAAACAAAAAAUUUUAAAUUAACUAAGAGAAACUAAAUUAAAACUUCAUUAACAAAAUGCGAGAAAUAAAAGUAAAAACUUUAUAUUUAGUCCUGCCAAAUAACUGAAUUUAAUCAUAAGAUUUCUAUUAUUUUAGGCAUAACCUUUACUUCAUUAACUCUAAAAUUCUACUCCCGCCGUCCCAAAAUAUAAGUCAUUUUUAUACGAUUAUUUUGUUUCAAAAUAUAAAUCGUUUUGAGUAUUUUAAAGAGUAAAAAAUGAUGUUUUUCCAAUGUUACCCUUAUUUAAAUUAGUUGCAAAUAAAUACUUUCACAAGUAACUAUUAGUUUGAGAUAAAUGAUAAUUUGGUCAAAUUACCCUUGAGUUUAUUAUAAUCUAAGAAAAUCAAUUGUUUUCUUAAUUCUUCUGCAACAAUUUUAAAUAACUUAUAUUUUGGGACAGAUAGAGUAUUAUUUUAACAUGAACUACAUAUAUAAGCCAUUAUAACUAUAGGGGAAAUGCACUUUCUCAUCAAGACCUAAACAGCCUUUGGCAAAAGUCAACAUAGUAAUCGGCAAGAAAUCUUUCUAUACAUACUAAUAGAUAAAAGCCAAAUAAUCAAUACCAUAAUAUUCUUAUUUAUAGAGUAAACUAGCAACAUGUUUGUGCUAUGCACAGUAAAUAUCUCUAUCUAUAAUUUUAAAAAUAUGGUGAUAAUAUUUUAAAAUAUAUAAUUUAAUUGAGAAAAAAUUUAUAAUUUAAAUUAUUUUUAAUUUCAUAUUUAUUAAUUUUGUUCAAAAUUAAUAAAUUAAAGAACAUAUAUUUCAAAUUCAAAACAUUAGACUAAUUAUACAAAAAUUAAUGUCCAUAAUAAAAUUGAAAGAAAAGAAAAUAUAUAUUAAAAAUCAUUGUUUUUAAUUUAUUUUUGAAUUAAUAAAUUUUCUUAGGCGAUAUUAAAAUAAUGAAAUAAAUAAAACAAAAUAGACAAUAGAAAUUCAAUCAUAGACAUAUAUAUAUUAUUCUUAAUGAUAAUUUCCUACCGUUUUCUAAAGGUGUUAUUUUUAUAGUAUUUUCAAUAUAAUUUUUAUUAAGAUUUUUACCAUUUUUAAUCAUUAAAUUAGUUUUUAUUUAAUUUUGUUAUGUUUUAUUCAAAAGUUUCCUUAAAUCAUAAUUCACUUGGUCUUAAGAAAAUUUGUAGGAUUUUGGCACAGAAAAGAAGCAAAAUAAAGUAAGAAACUCAGGCUCUGGCACACCCAAGCCGUGCACAUUAGCACGCCCGUGCUAGAGCCAAGGAAAAUCAAGUGAAGAGUCAGACUUUAGCACGCCCGUGCUGAAAUGACCCAGGACUUCCAGAGCCUAGAACGCCUUGACCGUGCUAUGGAGCACGCCCGUGCCACAAUGGAGACAUCAACCCAAGGGCGUGCUUCAGCAAGCACGCCCGUGCUGCAAUUACCCUGGACUUCCAGAGCCUAGCACGCCCUGACCGUGCUAUUGAGCACGCCCGUGCCACAAGACCUUAUUCAAGCGUGCCUCUGAGCACGGCCCGUGCUGAUUCCUCCACAAAGCCAAGUGAUAAGUAUUAUUUUUAUAGUAUUUUUAUUGUGAUUUUUAUUAGAAUUUCCAUUACUUUUAAUUUAUUUAUAUUAGUUUUUAUAUAAUAUUGAUAUGUUUUUAUUUAAAAGUUUCCUUAAAACACAACUUACUUGAUUUUUAAGAAAAAUGUAGGGUUUUGCAAGAAAAGGACAAAAAUAAGGCACAAUAUAAAUUAGCACGCUCAAGCCCGUGCUAAUCAGCACGCCCGUGCUCAAUGCAAGGCAAAACAGGCAGAGGAAGGAGCUGCGCAUGCCCCAGAUAAUGCUGAGCCGCACGCCCGUGCCACAUUUGCCCUGGACUUCCAGAGGCGCGCACGCCUCUGCCCGUGCUAAUGCGCACGCCCGUGCCCGCACUAAAGAUACAGUCCUGACCCGUGCCAAGGAAGCACGCCCGUGCUACAAUUGCGCCAGACUUCCAGAGCCUGGCAUGCCCCAGACUGUGCCAGGCAGCACGCCCGUGCCAAGGAAGAGAUCCUGAAUUUGAGUCAAAAGUUGCCAACUAAUCCCUGCCAUUUUUACAGCCCACUUUGAAUACUUUCUUCACAUGUCAGUCAAGCUUCAAACAUAUGCACAUGAAAAGCCAUAAUUGAGAGAAAUUUAUGGCUUGAUUUAGAGCUUUUCCACCUCACAAAGUUGGACUUUAUUCAUUAAAACAUGUGGAAUGCUCCCCCAAGAUAUCUAUAUAAAGAGAAGAAGAAGCCAUUUCAAAGUCAUCCCAUACUCUACAUCUCUUCUCCCAUCUCUCAUUUUAUAGCUUUGUAUAUAGUUUUAUUCUUUUAGAAGCUAAGUAUUCAAGAGUUGUGCAAAGGUUCAAGGAAGCCAUCCAAGCAAUUGUUAACUAGUUCUUAUUUCUAAACUCUUAAUUUUGUUUAUUUCUUUCAUUAUUCUUAUCAAUUAUGAAAUACUUAUCAAGCAUUAUUGAGUUUUAUUUAAGUGCCAUGUCUAACUAAUUUCUUAUACUAGGGGUUUGAUGUAGCUUAAUCUCUUUUCCAAUUUAUGCAAUUAGAUUUAUUUUUCCUUAUUCAAGUUAUGAUUUAUUGAUAAACUUAAUGCUUCCAGGCAGAGNNNNNNNNNNNNNNNNNNNNNNNNNNNNNNNNNNNNGAAGGGUUUUUGAUAUGAAAAAGGUAAUAAAUUACAUGAGACUAAUAACUUGCUGCGGAAGCUAUAUGGUUUGACUCAUGGGAGGUUUUCAUGAUUUAUCAACCUUAAAUUAUGAAUUCAUAAACAACUACAUAACUUAAUGAUUUGAUUCAUAUUUGAUUGCGCUAUUGGAAAAUAGGUAAUUAAAUGGAAUUAAAAUAGCUAGCAAUACAUCAGAAGAACUUGUUAGUGAAUUCAGAGUUGUUUCUACUACUUGAAUAAUUAAAUUGAUCAAUGAACUAAUGAAAUAAAUUGGAUAAAAUUAAGUGAAAUCAAAACCCCUAGUAGUUUUACUUCCUUGAUUUCUUUAAUCAAUAAUUGCUUGCGACUCUUGUUUAUUUUACAUUUAUAAAACAAUUCACUCAAUUAUCGUUUAAAUAAUAAUGAGAUAACAUAAUCUUGGUACUUGGAUUACAAGUCUCGUGGGAACGAUAUCUUACUCAUCAUAUAUUACUUGUAGCGAUUCGUACACUUGCGAAAUAAGCUGUCAUCAAGAUCCGGCACGCCAGACUGUGCUUCCCGGCACGCCAGACUGUGCUUCCCAGCACGCCCGUGCUAAAGACCAAGAGCUAAUUUAAGUCAAAAAUUGCCAACCAAUUCCCACCAUUUUCAUGAGCUCACCUUGGACACUUUCUUCACAUGCAAAUUAAGUUCAAAUCUAUGCACAUGGGAAAAUCAUGAUUGAGAGAAAUUUAAGGCCUAAAUGAGAACUUUAUUACCUAACAAAGGUGGACUUUAUUCCCUAAACUAUGUGGAUUUCUCUCCCACGAAGUCUAUAUAAAGAGAAGAAAAGUUCAUUGCAAAGCAUCCCAUUCCAUCCUAUCUCAUCUCAGAUCUCUCAUAUAUCUCAUUUUUCUCUUGUACAUAGUUUUAUUUCUUCAAAAGUUCAAGUAUUCAAGAGUUGUGCAAAGGUUCAAGGAAGCCAUCCAGAGCAACUUGUUAACUAGUUCUUAUUUCUAAACUCUUAAUCUUGUUUAUUUCUUUCAUUAUUCUGAUUGAUUAUGGAAUAUUUAUCAAGUAUUAUUGAGUGUUGUUUAAGAACUAUAUCUAACUAAAUUCUCAUACUAGGGAUUUGAUAUAGCUUAAUUUCUUUUUCAAUUUAUAAUAUUAGCUUGGUUUUUCUUUGUUCAAGUUAUCAUUUAUUGAUAAACUUAAUGCUUCCAGGCAAAGUUUCUCCCUCGAAUUGAUUUAUUUCAUUAUUCACUAUCGGAAGAAAGAUUUUUUAUAUGAAAAAGUUAAUGAAUCACAUGAGAAUAAUAACUUGAUGCGGAAGCUAUAUGAUUUGACUCAUGGGGGGUUUUCAUGAAUUAACAACUUUAAUUUAUGAAUUCAUAAACAAACUACAAAACUUACUGAUUUGAUUCAGGUCUGAUUAUGCUAUUGGAAGAUGGGUAGUUAAAUGGAAUUAAAAUAGCUAACAAUACAUCGGAAGAGCUUGUUAGUAAUUUUAGAGUUGUUUCCCCUACUUAAAUGAUUAAAAUUGAUUAAUGAACUAAUAAAAUAAAUUGGAUAGAAUAGGGUGAAAUCAAAAUCCCUAGUAGUUUUAAAUCCUUGAUUUCUUUAAUCAAUAAUUGCCUGCUUGACUUCUUCUUAUUUUCACUUAUUGAAUUUAAAUUAUUGAAACAAUUUCCUCAUUUAUCGUUUAAAUAAUAAUAGGUUAACAUAAUUUUGGUACUUGGUAUACAAUACUCGUGGGAAUGAUAUUCUACUCAUCAUAUAUUACUUGUGGCGAUUUCGUACACUUGCGAAAGCAUUGUCAUUUUCUCUUGUGAUUUAUCAAACUUUUCCUAAUUUGAUGGAGUAAUAGAUAUUAGAAGAGAAAAAAAAUAUAUAUCAAUGUCGAAAAGAAAUUGUAUAAGAUUUAUUGAAAUGCAAAAAAAAAAAUUGAUCUUACCAAAUCUCAUGAGUACCAAAUCUCAAAGAGCGCUAUCUAUUUAUAAUUUAGUAAUAAUCAAUUAAUGACAAUUCAUAUAUUAUCAUUAAAACUAAUAAAGACAACUAUAUGUUGCAAUUUUAAGACAAAUAACUAUUGGUUUGAGAUAAAUGAUAAUUUGGUCAAAUUACCCUUGAGUUUAUUAUAAUUUAAGAAAAUUAAUUGUUUCCUUAAUCCUUUGGACAACAACCUUAGACAACUUAUAUUUUGAGACAGAGGGAGUAUUAUUUUAACAUCAACUACAUAUACAAGCCAUUAUAACUAUAGAGGAAAUGCACUUUCUCAUCAAGCCCUAAACAGCCUUUGGCAAAAGCCAACACAUUAAUUGGCAAGAAAUCUUUCUAUACAUACUAAUAGAUAAAAGCCAAAUAACUAAUUCUUAUGUAUAGAGUAAACUAGCAACAUGUUUGUGCUAUGUACAGUAAAUAUCUUUAUCUAUACUCUUAGAAAUAUUAUGAUAAUAUAUUAAAAUACAUAAUUUAAUUUAAAAAAUUUAUAAUUUAAAUUAUUUUUUAAUUUCAUAUUUAUUAAUUUUAUUGAAAAUUAAUAAAUUAAAGAACAUUUAUUUCAAAUUCAAAACAUUAGACUAAUUAUACAAAAAUUAAUGUUUAUAAUAAAAUUGAAAGAAAAGAAAAUAUAUAUUAAAAAUCAUUGAUUUUAAUUUAUUUUUGAAUUAAUAAAUUUUCUUAGGCUAUAUUAAAAUAAUAAAAUAAAUAAAAUAAAAUAGACAAUAGAAACUCAAUCAUAGACAUACAUAUAUUAUUCUUAAUGAUAAUUUCCUACCGUUUUCUCUUGUGAUUUAUCAAAUUUUUCCUAAUUUGAUGGAGUAAUAGAAAUUAAAAGAGAAAAAAAUAUAUAUCAAUGUCGAAAAGAAAUUGUAUAAGAUUUAUUGAAAUGCAAAAAAAAAAAUUGAUCUUACCAAAUCUCAUGAGAGCGCUAUCUAUUUAUAAUCUAGUAAUAGUCAAUUAAUGGCAAUUCAUAUAUUAUCAUUAAAACUAAUAAAGACAAUUAUAUGUUGCAAUUUUAAGAAAAAUAAAUAUUGAAACGUUUGAAUAUACAUCGUUAAUAAAACUAAUAAUAAAUAUUUUCAUCAUUAAUCUUCUCUAUCAUUCUUUUAAAUAUAAAAUUUUCAGUCAUAAUAAUAAAUGAUAAUUAUGAUUGAUUAUAAUGAUAUUCAAUAUCAAUAUUAUAAUAAUUUUAAUUCAAAAGAUAAGUUAUAAUACAUAUUAAUAUGAUAUUCAAUGUCAAAAUUAUGAUAAUUUUUAAUUAAAAUUAGGUUAUAAUAUUAUAAUAAUUUUAAUUAUUUAAUCCAUAUUCAUAUGAUAAUUAAAUAACAAUUAAAACCAAUAUUAUAUAAUUUUAAUUGAGAAAGAUAGAUUACAAUACUAUAAUAAUUAUAAUUAUUUACUUAUAUGUAUUAAUUAUGAUAAUUGAAUGAUAAUUAAUAUCAAUAUUUAUAUAACACUAUAACUAAUAAUUAAAUUCUAUGCGGUAUUAUCAAAAUUUAAGAGUCCCAUGUGACAUUUUAAUUAUAUGUGUCAUCACCAAAAAUCUUAUGUGGCAAGAAUAGGGGAAGAAAAUUCAUUUAAAAAAUGUCACAUGUCAACUUCUUGGGAAAAAAAAUACUUGCUUUAUAUAUAUAUAUAUAUAUAUUGAUUAUGGUUGGUUUUUUUUUUUUUUAUGUUUGGAAAGAAUAUAUAUUUGAUUCAAGGUGGUUGGUUCAUUCAUUUGGUUUGGUUUGAAAUAACAAUGCUCAUUAUAUUUUCAUUUUUUAUACGCUUUUAAUUUUUUUGUCUAUAUAAUAUUAAAGCAUAAGUUUUUGUUUAGAUUAAAGUAAAUACAAUUGAUUAAUUUGUAUUAGAUUUUAUCGUAUAAGCUACUUGCAAUACUAUUUUUUUAUGUACUUAAUUCUAUUUUAUAUAAUGAAAUGAUCUCAAAGUUCAAUACAUCCCUAGGGAUGGCAAAAUCAGCUCGACCUGAUGGGUAUGCACCUGGCCUAAACCCAGUCAAACCCGAUUUUUAGAGUUUUGACUGAAUUUGGGUAGGGUUUGGGUAAAACCCAAAAGUUUCAUUUUGGAUAUGGAUAGAGUAUGGGUAUUGUUAUUAUAAAUCCAAAUCUGAUCCCCAACCUGACCCGAUCUUUUGGGUUGAAUAAUAUCCAAACCCGAUACCCAAACCCUCAGAGGUUUGAAAAUUAAUUAUUUUCUUCAAAUUGUAGUAUGAAAUAUUUAAUAAAGAAAAAUAAUUGUAAUAUGAAUAAUUUUGAGUUAAUUUGAAUAAUUUAAAUUAUUUUCAAUAAUUUGAAUAAUUCGAAUAAUUUAAAUUAACUUGAAUAAUUUAAAUUUAUUUAAACAAUUUGAAUUUUUCAGAUUUUUUAAAUUUUAGAAUUUUAAAAUUAAUUUACAGUUCAAUAUUUAAUAUUUCAUUUAAAUAAAUAUCUUAUUUUUAAUUUUAUAUUUUAUUCUAUAUAUUAUUCAUUGUAGUUUGAAUUACUAUUUGUUAGAAGAAAACAAAGGAGACUCUAACCAAGAAGAAUUUUUCAAUUUCUCCCAAAAACAAAAACACUUUAUCAAAAGCUUCAACAUAAGUAAUAGUUAGAAUAGAGAGUUAAUUUAUCAAAUAUUUCAAAACAAGUGGUGUCAAGUCAUCCUCGCCUUUUUUGAUUUAUCAGUUGAAGAUUCUACUACUAUUACCCUUCAGCACUUCAUAAAAAUCUUAUAUCAUUUAAAAAAAUAAUUUAAAAAAAAAAAAGAAAGAAAAAGCUACAGGAUGUCUUUUAAGCCUAUCUAGUAAACUAGUUGUUUCUUUAGUAUUUUCAGUAUGAAUGGCUAAAAGUUGGAGAAACAUUGAAUAUAAUGUGGGAAUAAUAUAAAUAUGUAAAUUUGAAAAAAUUGAAAUAGGAAUAAUUAAACCUAUCCUACCCCACAACUUAUCAAGAUAAAGAUUCCAGUUAGUGUGCACUAUGAUUAUUUUAUACUCUCAAUUAGAAUGCAUAAAAUUCUCUCUCUCUCUCUCUCUCUCUCUCUCUUUAUAUUUUUUUUUCUUAAAUGGAUUAUUAAUUAAAACUAAAUACAUUACCACUAAACACAAUAUAAAAAUUAUUAUGCUUUUUAUGAUUAUCAAACAACAUAAUUCCGUUGUCGUCCAGCGGUUAGGAUAUCUGGCUUUCACCCAGGAGACCCGGGUUCGAUUCCCGGCAACGGAAACUUUUUUAAGCACCGGUUUCCUACCCGAAUUAACUGCCACUAGUACAUUUGAUUUCAUUUCAUUGCCACUUUUUAUUGAACGUAUUCUAAUUAUUGCACUUAAAAAAUCAUAUUACAACUUUUAAAAGCCAGCUACAUGAAAAGAAGAAAACCAUAUUACCAUCUCUUCAGUGAACUGCUCUUCUCUCUUAUAUAACCUCUCUUCUUCCCCCAUUUCAAACCGGCACACCGGACAAGUUUUCCGGCACAAAUUGAACCAUCUAUCAAUACAUACCUUAUGAAAAAUAUGCGAGCAAGGAAGAUUACGCAUCUCCUCUCCUCUCUUCAGUACCGAUAAGCAAACACAACAAAUUUCGCCCUCUAUCUUGAACUGAGUUGACUCGCUCGACUUUAUCUCUUCAAGAGACUUAACUGCAUCCUUCUUAGCAUUCUCCGAAACAUCCAACGUAGUAGUUCCUCUGAAUGAUGUUACAUCUUUAAUGCUUAGCUGCCUCCUUAGACCAAUAAAAUUGUAAAUAAAGGAAGCCAAUUUUCUGAAGACCAUUUGAUUUUCUUAAUGGAUGAUUAGCAUUUCUAUUAUAUCUUUAAUAAGAGGAGUUAAGCAAAGAUGAUGGUGUGUGCAAGUUAUGGUUUACUUUUUUUUUUUUUAUUUGUAGUUUUUUUGAGUGGUUUUGAAGAAUUGUUAGAUACAGAGAGACGAUUUUGAGUUUCCAACAAAAAGGAGGUUGUACCAAAACAAGAGUGUUACUCUUCACCUUUUCAUAUUAGUAAAUACCUACCACCUUCACCUAGUAGUAGUCUACUUGGCUUCAUUCUUUCGCUUAGCAGGUUGUCUUCCAAGUCAUAAACCUGCAAUUAUUUCAGUACUAACUAUAUUAUCUACAUAUAAUUUGUUAAUGUAUAAUCUUCAAAAAUAUGAUAACCCGGAAAUCCAGAAUGAGAUUUUUUUUCUUUCAGACCAUCUUUCUAUGAUAUAUUAUUACAAAUAGCAGCACAACCUUCAUGGUGAGAUAUCAUUCGCUCGUUAAACAUUCUUAAUUGCUUGAAAUUAAGAUAGUUCGGACUCAGGAGUUUAAGAGUUUUAUAAAACAUUCUUGAUUUAACAAAACAGAGUGUUAGAACAAACUGAAUGCUGUUCAAUUGGGUUCCUGAAUAGUAAGAAUUAUUGUCUGUCACCAACAAAUGGUGCUCAAGAAUGAACAAAUACAGCCCUUUUUCUGUCAAGUUCUUAUCAACACAUCUGAAUAACAAGAAAGUCUAAUAUCAUUGUUUAUAUUUCAAUGAAUUAAAUAGAUGUGUAUUAAUUAUUAACAGUUGAACUUCACUGCAGCUCAACACUUGAUUGAAACCUCGAAGGUGUGGAGAAGAUGAUUUAUGGCCUCUUAGAGACUGGUUACGAUUCACAUUUCUUUCCCCUUGUAAUAGAACCUGGUUUGUCAUGUUAAAUUCUGUAAAAACUGAAUUCAUAGACUGAAAUGAACAAUUUCUUUCAUAUCAAGCAUGGAAAUACUAAUUCUAAAUCAUCCAUCAAACCUAAAUAGCGCACCAGUUUAAGUCUACUAAAAGGAUCUACCUCCUCCUCUUAGAAUAUAAACAACAAAUUGGCAAAACCGUAAUCCCAACUAGUUAGAGUCGACUGUAUGGAACUGCUUCCUCAUCUCAAAACAUAUGCUAUAAAAACCUCAACAAUUAAAAUAGCAACAACAAUCUCAUCUCCACUCACCUUCCAAUUCCUAAAGAACAAAGCUACUUCAAAAAAGAAAAGAAAGUUUACCUACAUCAAAACAUAAAAUAAGCUCCUCACUGUUAAAAAUCUAAUAACAGACAAAAUUUGAAAUGCAAACAAAAGGAACCUGCUAGAUUUGAAAGCCUUACUUCAACCAUUCAAACCAUUUUCUCACAAUAUGAAGAAAUAUCGGGUAGACAAAAGAAAAUGACUUUGAUCUUGCAUUUCUUGAAAGAACAAGUUUAUCAAAUUCAAAAUUACCUGUUCCUAUAGCAAAUACAUUGUAAUCAAAUCUAAAUUUGAGAUUAUUGACUACCUCAUCAUCACUCCUUACUAAUAACAGAUGAAUCAGCAGCACCAUCAUUUUCAAGAAUUUUUCCAUCUCUUGGAACCAGGCAAGGAACCCCAUCUUUUAUCUAUUAAAAGAGUACAAGCAAGAAAAAACAUUCAAAAAUAGAAAAAGAAAAACAAAAAGAAAAAAGAAGCGUAAUAUUACAGAAGAUUUUAGCAAAACAAUACCCAUUAAGGAAUUUUCAGUAGAAGGUAUAAAAUUUAUCAGAAUUUAGAACUUACAGGAUAAGAGACACCAAUAGCAUCACUGAUAAGAGAGUUCGUUUCCUCACAAUACCUACCAAAAUGAAAGAUCAAAGCUUGAUUUUGGAAAUAGCCAUGAAGAAGAACAAAAAAAAAAGGCAAGAAAAAGAAGAUGAGAUGAAAAAUUGAGCACCUUAAGGGCUGCUUGGAGAGUGGGCAGACCAAAACUUCAAAGAGAGUCUUGUUAAUUCCAUUCCGUGCUUCUUUCAAUAAGGCUCUGUUCAAUCUCACCAUUUUCCGUCCUAAACUUGUGAUUUGCAGAGAUUUUUGGUUGCAAGUAUAAAAAGCCCUCUAAGUUCAAAACGCAGCAUUUUGUUUCUUAUGUUAGUUAAUACGACAACGUUUUAUUCUUGCGUUUUAGUCUAUGUUAUUACUUCAUUCACCCCUUCUUCCUCCCAUGAGACUGAAAAGAGUUCCCUUCCUCCAUGAAAGCCGGAAAACUGAGAGCAUUGGCAUGCGUUAAUGGCUAAAAUCAGAUCCCAAAUGAAUGGCAAAAAUUUCAAUGCGAGACCUCUUCCGAAUCAGACUUGGAAACACCAUUUUCACUCAUCACCGCCGAUCAAUUCUAGUUUCUCCAAAUCAAAACAAUCUCUUUUUAGCUUCAUAUUCAUAUUCUUUCCCUUAUGUCGAAGAUAGACCGUUCUCUAUUUAUCAUCCAAGCAUUGAAUUUGUCAAAUUAUGUCAAAACAGUGGACAUCUCUUUCAAAUUCAAUCUCAGUUGAUCACUUCUGGGCUUUUUCCCUUUUGGUCAGCCAAACUUCUAAAAUAUUAUUCAGAUUUUGGUGAUAUUGAUUCCACCAUUUCGAUCUUUAAAUACAUUGAUUCUCCUGGUCCUGUCGUCGUAAAUAAUGUUAUCAAAGCAUACUCGCUUAGUUCUAUUCCACAACGAGCUUUGCUUUUCUAUUUUGAUAUGGUGGCAAAUGGAUGCUUUCCAAAUAGCUAUACUUUUGUUUCACUCCUUAGUUGUUGUGCCAAAUUAGGUUGCGCCAAAUCUGGGCAAAUGUGCCAUGGGCAAGCUUUGAAGAAUGGGGUUGAUUCUACGUUGCCAGUACAGAACUCAUUGAUUCAUUUUUAUGGGUGCUGCAGUGCUGUGGAACAUGCUACAAAGGUGUUCGAUGAAAUGUCUCAAAGAGAUUUAGUCUCAUGGAAUUCUAUUAUUAGCGCCAAUGUUAGCAGGGGUGAUUUAGUUACUGCUCAUAACAUUUUUGAAGUAAUGCUUGAGAGAAAUGUAAUUUCAUGGAAUAUCAUGAUUAAUGGGUACUUGAAAGUUAAUAAUCCUGGGUGUGCUUUGUUGGUAUUUAGGAAAAUGGCAAAUAGAGGAUUGCAAGGAAAUCUUAAAACUAUGGUAGGUGUGAUUCGUGCUUGUGGUAAGUCAGCCAGGCUGAGAGAAGGACGUUCUGUUCAUGGGUAUCUUAUUAGGAAAUGGAAGAGUUUGAGUAUAUUCAUUUAUACAUCUUUGAUAGAUAUGUAUAGUAAAUGUCGAAGGGUGGAACUAGCUUCGAAAAUUUUUGAUAGUUUGAUGCAUAGAAAUUUGAUUUGCUGGAAUGCAAUGAUUUUGGGUCACUGCAUUCAUGGAAAACCAGAAGAUGGGCUUAAUUUAUUUGCGGAUAUGGUAGAAGCUAUCGAACCAGAUGAAGUUACUUACAUAGGAAUUCUAUCUGCUUGUGCUCGAGCCGGAUUGUUGACAGAGGGCAGAAACUUUUUCAGCCAAAUGACUCAUAAGUAUUGUCUAAAGCCAAAUUUUGCACAUUAUUGGUGCAUGGCUAAUCUUUAUGCAGGUCUUGGCCUAGUUAAUGAUGCAGAGAAUGUACUAAGGAACAUGCCAGUCGACAAUGAGAAUGUCUCACUGGAGUCGAUUGUUUGGGCUAAUUUGCUUACUGUAACCCGUUUCCAAGCAAAUGCUACUUUGGGGGAAAGAGUUGCAAAAUCUCUGAUAGCUAAGGAACCUUGGAAUUUCUCGCACUAUCAGCUGUUAGCGAAUGUCUAUGCUGCAGCAUCCAAGUGGGAAGAUGUUGCUAGAGUAAAAGAGAUGUUGAAAAAAGGACAGAUGCGAAGAAAUCCAGGGUGUAAUCUUGUGGAUUUGAAAAAAAUUGUUCACGAGUAUAGAGUAGGACAUUGUUGGCAAGAGGGAAUUGAUGAAAUGACCAGAAUGAUAGGUGAAGUGGCUGAAAAACCAAUUUCAUGAAUUGCUGAUUUAGAACAGCAAUGAAUGAUGGUGUUGCAGGCUGGAACUUAGCCUCAUGGUCUAAUAUACAGAUGAGAAAACUAGGUAGUAACAUUGAUCCAUUGAAAGAAAAUGUCAUGCGUUAUCAUCUGAUCAUGGAGACUGUUGUAAUAAAAUUUUUCUAGUUGAUUGGCAAAUAUAGUGGUAGGUCAUUUUUGAACACAGACAGAAGUUUUGCGUGCAAGUUCUUCAAGCAGACGCAGUUGAACUUGAGGAACCGUCAAAUUUUGGCUAUUACAAAAAAAGAUUUAUCUUUGAGUAUUGCCAAUAAAUGCUUACUCGAUAUCUUCUCUCUUUCCCUAGUUGUCUUUUGAUAAAGAUAUUUCGUUAUGCUUAUAGAUACACUUGUUCAACUAGACCUCCUCCUAAGUUUGGCAUACUUUCCAGAUGCAAGUUCUAAGUGUGAUUAUAAACACAUUCUAAUUGCAAAACUGCAUUUUUUUUUUCAUAGCUCAUUGGAUGAAAUCAGAAUUAUAAAUCAAGUUUUAAUUUAAUUUAUAAGCAACAGCACACAGGAUCACAAGUCCCGCAAAAUCCUAAAACUGCACAAAUCGCUCGCAAGAACACAAGAGACUGGCAUCAAAAUUUUAGUACGUAAAGACCAUGAUUCAUACAGGCAAUUAACAAAUUGUAGAAAAAUUCCACCAUGAUUGUAGAGAAUUAUAGAGAAUUAAGAAUUUACCUACAAUGAUUCAUAAUAAUUUCCUACAUGCAUGUAUAACUGUGGAGGACAAAAUACAUGUAAAAGGCAAAGACCACUGAAACACAUCUCGUGGAUAACCAGCAGAGAGAUUGAUUACACGCCAGAGAAUCCGAGCAUUAUUUACAUUUAAAUGUGCCCAGAAGUUCAUAACAGUAAUUGAAAUGUGUCCACAAGUUCAGAACAAUGAGUGAAGGGUUAGGUCUAAUCACUGGUCUACAGAUGAGAUAAAGCAACAAAGUUUGUUUAGUAUUUAACCACAUAAUCCACCCAAAAUAUUCCAUAAUUGCUGAUUAAAUAUAGAACCACUUCAUUCAAAUGCCCAUUGGUUCUCCCGACGAAGUUCUUCCUCCUCCUCAGGGGUAAAGUCAUCCUUGAUAUUAAAUAUCUCCCGGAUCUCAUCAGGCGUCUUCCCCUUGAUCAUGUCUGCAACAGUCUGGCACGUCAGGUCCAGCAACCCCUUUAUGUUCAAGUAGUUGGCAGCCUAGAAACAUAAUCAGAUCACCAAAUAAGAAUUUUUGGCCAGGGCCAACAGCCAAACUCAUAUCAACCAGCCUAUAAAAUCAGACUUCAUUUGAAUGCAUGUCAAAAUCCAGAAAAAGAACCCCUUCUAUGUGACAAAUAAAGAUUCGACAUCAUAAUUUAGGAGGACAGCAGUUCUUCUCAUCCCACUUACAGAAGUGAUGCCAAAUUUGUCCAAGAACACAGAAUUAAAGCCAAACUUAUGUUCACAUGUUACAUAUCAAAACAUCUAUGACAUAAAAUAGAGCCCAAUGCUAAAACAUUCGUUGUGACAAUUCAAAAGUUUAAUGGUCAUAUGAAAACUAUAAUGCACUUUAACAGUAAUAUAAAAUAAACUUACGAGAUCAUUAAUUACCAAAAACACUACCAUCAAACCUUAAUCCUAUUAUAGUUAGUAAAGGUAUGCCUUAACUUAGGGCACCUCAAAACUUAGAGGCGGGCGACCUCACUAAGGCGCUUGCCUCUAGGCAGAGGCUCAAGCAAGGCAAGCCUCCCACCUCCCACCCCCCGCCCCCAAAACCAAAAAACACAUACACACAAAACAACCAAAGCCCAAACAGUCACCUAAGGAUUUCCCUCAACAUAAUUAUGUCCAGCUCGCAUCUAUUUACAUAAUAAGUAAAUAAAUAAAAGAAACAAAACAUAAUGCAUAAACCAAUGUUGCGCUCUGCAAUCCAGCCUCCACUCCUCCAUCCAGCAUCUGCUCCUCGCUCACCUCCUGCAAUCCAACCUCCUCUCUCUCUCGCUCCCCUCCUGCAAUCCCACCUCCUCUCUUCCUAUGUUUGCUCUCCAUUUACUUUGUGUUUUUUUCUUUUUCCAUAUGCUGGCUUCUACUCCCUUCUGUCUUAACUCCUAGAUCUUAAAAUAUAAGCCGUUGUGUUGCUGAUCUUUUUCCUUAAUUAUGUUUUUCUGAUUUAUGCAUGUCUUUGUUAUUUUUCCUUUAGUAUCUUUUAAAUAUAAUUUUAGGUUUCAUGUGCGUUUUAAUUGUCCUUUAUUUUUUACCUUUGCGCCUCACGUCACUUAGACACCAGCCUUCCCCCAUGGCAAGAGCCUGGGCUCCAGCAGCCAUUUGCACUUUAGUGCAUCUUUUACCUUUAAUUGCUAUUAAUUCUAUAGAGAUACCAUAACCUGCAAUAUUCCAACAAUAAAAUAUUUAUGUUCCACAGCCAGCAAUCAUUAACCUAAAAAAGAAUUCUCUUUCAUGAAGCAUGAGCAACCAAUAACAACAAUGACAAAGAUGAUGAAAGGUUACAUGCCCAGUACAAAUAAUGGCACAAUAAAUAAACUAAUAUCACUCCAUGAUUCAAGAAAAUUUGUCACAUGAUACGACAGCUAGUCAAUUCAAAAAGAAUUGAACAUUUAACAAUUAAUUCAUAAAUUCAUAAUUGUUUUCAUAUGAACACUUCGCAAAUACAAUCAAGAUAACAUUAGCUGUAUGUUACACUUUAUAACAUAGAGUUAUUAUUUUACCAAUAAGGUCUUCAUGGGCUCCUCUACUAACCUAUUGCAGUUUUACAACUUUGCUAUUAACUUCAAUAAUGACUCGGACAAAUGCACAACAACCAUCUAAGAAACUCCAAGUUCAUGUUUGGUAUGUUGAGAUCGAUCUACAAUUUCAGCCUUUCCUGUGGUCCCUUUAUCAGUUCGUUUUCUCCCCUACCCUAACAAUGUCUAUCCCUUUUUUACUUCUUGCUUUACCUAACAAUGCAUAUCAUCAUUGAUCAAUAAAUGCCCUAUUUUCCAUUUUUGAUAUAAACUAGACCUUACAUAGAUCUAUUUCUGGAUAAAAAAUUAUGAAAUAACUAAAACAAAACACCAAAAUUAGCUAACAUGAUAAUAUAUACUCAUAAAUUUCUGAACAUACCUACCUAAAAUCCCUUUGAAAAGAAGCCAUAACUUAAAUCAAUCUAACUAUACAGAAAAACGCAGAAGAAAUCCUAAACAUAAUUGAAAAGGCCACAAAUGAAUCAAGAAGGAACAGAUCUAACAAAAACGGCAAAAAAGAAAAGGGUGAAGUAUCGACCAGAAUGAGAUCAAACAGGGUGGCUUGAUCAACUUUGACAAACUCAGCGUCCCAGUUCUUAAGCUCAUCAUCUGCGCCGCCGUUGCUCCGAUCAUCGUACUUGGGAGUCUCGACGUGCUUCUUGCAGUACUCAAUCACCUUAGCCAAGAUCUUGCUUGUCACAUUAGGCAGAGGGAUUCCGUUAUCGGCGCAAUCAUCCUCGAUCAUGGGCUUGAUCGUUUGCGAUUCCAAAGCCACCGCCUCAUCCACCUCAAACGCCUCUCCAUCGAUGCUCUUCAGGGUAAUCUUCUUUGACGUCGACAUCGUUUUGGAUGCAGCAAUUCUCUAGACAAUAGAAAACGACAACGAAAAACGAGCCUCCGUACGGUUCUCUGGCGUUAUAAGGUUCAAUUUCUCUGCCAGAAACCAAGGAAAACAAAAUAGUUGGUGAACCGAAGAAUCGCGAUAAUUUCAAUUUACAGGGCGAGUGAAACAAUUUGGGGUGAAGAUGAUCAUACGUAGCAUAUUUUAUUUGGGAUAAUGUACACCGUCUACGUGUCAAUAAAUUAUUUGAUUUUGUUUUUUUAUAACAAAUCAGAUUUUUUUACAGGGAUAAUAGUAAAGAACUGGGCGUAAUCGGUAAACGGAUUAUUAUGUUUUGGACAAUUACAAAAUAACCCCUACUUUUGCCCUUUGUAUACAAUAUUGUCCUUUCGUUCUUAUUUUUUGUAAUUAUUCUUUGUAUAUUUUAAGGAAGAAACUGUUGAAAAAAUGAGUUCCAGACGAUCUAAUUGCAAUCUACAAUUAAGAGUGCCUUUUAGAUACUGCCACGUAAAGUGUUUGACAACUUUGCAUUUCAUUCGUGAACUGGCAUGUGAAAUUCACAGCAAAAGAUAAAUAAGUAAUUUGCUUUUUAAUUAAGUGCUUUUAACGGGUUUUCAUUAAUUUAAUAAAUUAAAACAGAGAAAGAGUUUUAAUUGUAGCACAUGAUUUUAUUUUCGACUAUUGAGAUUAAAAAUAAAGUAAAUUUAGUUUUAGAAUUACAAAAUUACAAAUUAUGAUUUUAAUUAUAUCUUAAUUGAUAAAACUUAUAAUGAAUUGAAAAUAAAUAUUACUACUGUUAUUUUGAAUUGAAUCCCGAUGGCCAAUUCCAUAGGUGAUGUUAUAAAUAAAUUUAAAAUUAUUAGUCAAAUCCCCUUAAAUGCAUUCUUAAAAAAAAAUAAUAAUAAAAAUAUACGAUCAAUAAAUGGUCAAAUUAUUAUAUUUUUAAUGGUCAAAUUAUUAUAUUUUUUUUCGGAUCUAUUACCAGAUUAUAUAAAAUAAAAUAUAUACAAUAAAUAACAUUGUAAUAGUCACAAAUUAUAUAAAAUAUGUCUUGAGAGGUAGGUCACAAAAUAAACAACACUUACUGUUGGACUCUGUGCACAAUUACCAUUACACAUUAUAAUGGUCACAAAUUAUACUUGAGAGAAGCCUUUUUCUCAGUAAUUUCCUUAACAGUUUUUUCACCUAGAAGCACACUCACCACAUCAGAUAUUGAAGGCCUAUUGGAGGGCAAUUUUUCAGUGCACAACAUUGCCAAAUCAAUAAUGGUGAUGGCUUGGUUUCGUGUUGUUGAUAAUAGUUUCCCUGACGGACGCUCUUUCAAUGUCUGAUAGACUAGUUCUUCGUAUAUUUUUUGUUUAUAACAUUUAUCGGCCUAUAUAAAUGCAAUACCUUAUCAGAAAGCGAUGCAAAUUAAUAUGGAAAUGCAUAUAUAUUAACAUGGAAAAGGAUGAAUUUACCUUUUCCAAAAGAUAAAAGCUACCGUUAUGAUCUCCGAGAUUUUGAUCAAUCUUUAUCCCACUAACAAUUUCAAGAAGCAAGAGGCCCAAGCUAUAAACAUCAACUCUCACAGUUAUGUUUUGAUGAGAUGCGUAUUUGGGUGCCAUGUACAUUCUGCAUAUAUGCAACAAUGAGAAAUUUUCUUGAAACUAAUUUAUCGAAUAGAAGAAUUUUGUGUUUUCUUAAUACUUACAGUGUGCUACCUGCUUUAGUGAACAUAAAUGGAUCAUCUUCCUCAUAAAGUUUUGCCAAUCCAAAGUCUGAGAUUUUGGCCUCACAAUUUCCAUCAAGAAGAAUAUUACUGGCCUUGGUAUUUCUGUGGAUGAUGGGUGGCUCCUUUUUAUGCAGAUGUUCCAAACCGAGGGCUAUUUGUUGGCAAAUACUGUAUCUAGUUUCCCAACUAAGUUGCAGAGAACGAUUAGGACCUGCAUGCAAAUAUAAUUGAAUCAUCAAACUAUAAAAUUAAUUUGAAAUGGUAGCGAGGUCUUAGGAUAAAAGAAAAAAUAUUCCCAAAUAAGACUUGCUCAAGUGAUCCGUUAUCCAUAUAUUCAUAAAUUAGCAAAUGAAGGCCUCUCUUUGAAUAAGAACCUAACAGUUUAACAAGAUUCUGAUUUUCCACCUUAGACAAUGCAAAAACCUCUGCUCCUAUUUCUGCAGCUGCCUUUGAUUGAGGGAAAAGCUUCUUCACCGCUAAGGUCAAAUUCGACAGUUGAGCCUAUAAUAUGGAUAAUGGAAGGAGAAGAAGAAGAAGAAAAGAAAAAGAAGAAUUAAUGUAUGGACAUGAGU
rnacentral:lncRNA from 1 species